CGUACACUCCUGCGGGAGGCAGCAGUGGGGAAUAUUGGACAAUGGGCGCAAGCCUGAUCCAGCCAUGCCGCGUGAGUGAUGAAGGCCCUAGGGUUGUAAAGCUCUUUCACCGGUGAAGAUAAUGACGGUAACCGGAGAAGAAGCCCCGGCUAACUUCGUGCCAGCAGCCGCGGUAAUACGAAGGGGGCUAGCGUUGUUCGGAUUUACUGGGCGUAAAGCGCACGUAGGCGGACUAUUAAGUCAGGGGUGAAAUCCCGGGGCUCAACCCCGGAACUGCAUUUGAUACUGGUAGUCUUGAGUUCGAGGGAGGUGAGUGGAAUUCAGAGUGUAGAGGUGAAAUUCGUAGAUAUUCGGAGGAACACCAGUGGCGAAGGCGGCUCACUGGCUCGAUACUGACGCUGAGGUGCGAAAGCGUGGGGAGCAAACAGGAUUAGAAACCCGAGUAGUCCCAUGAU
rnacentral:rRNA from 1 species